GCCGAGGUGGUGAAAUCGGCAAACACGCAUGGUUUAGGACCAUGUGCCUAACGGCUUGCAGGUUCAAAUCCUGUCCUCGGCA
rnacentral:tRNA from 1 species